rnacentral:rRNA from 1 species
GUGGCGAACGGGUGAGUAACACGUGGGUAAUCUGCCCUGUACUCUGGGAUAAGCCUGGGAAACUGGGUCUAAUACCGGAUACGACUUCCUGCCGCAUGGUGGUGGGUGGAAAGCUUUUGUGGUGUGAGAUGAGCCCGCGGCCUAUCAGCUUGUUGGUGGGGUGAUGGCCUACCAAGGCGACGACGGGUAGCCGGCCUGAGAGGGUGUCCGGCCACACUGGGACUGAGACACGGCCCAGACUCCUACGGGAGGCAGCAGUUGGGAAUAUUGCACAAUGGGCGGAAGCCUGAUGCAGCGACGCCGCGUGAGGGAUGACGGCCUUCGGGUUGUAAACCUCUUUCACCAAGGACGAAGCGGGAGUGACGGUACUUGGGGAAGAAGCACCGGCUAACUACGUGCCAGCAGCCGCGGUAAUACGUAGGGUGCGAGCGUUGUCCGGAAUUAUUGGGCGUAAAGAGCUCGUAGGCGGCUCGUUGCGUCUACCGUGAAAACUGGAGGCUUAACCUUCAGCUUGCGGUGGAUACGGGCGGGCUUGAGUUCGGUAGGGGAGACUGGAAUUCCUGGUGUAGCGGUGAAAUGCGCAGAUAUCAGGAGGAACACCGGUGGCGAAGGCGGGUCUCUGGGCCGAUACUGACGCUGAGGAGCGAAAGC